UCGUAAGCGCGCGGUUCAUUAACAUCCACGUCGGAUAGACGCGCGGUUUCAGAAGCAGGGGCUCCUUUUUAAGCACACGCAGUUCCUUUGUUUCAUGAAUUGCGGCAUUCUUGGAUCAGUUCAUUGUUUCUUCCUCCUGAAAUGGAUCCAGAGGAGCAGGAUGUCAUUAAGUUCAUCUUAUACCUCAUGCUCUUGGAAGUUGAAAUGAGAAAGAAGAGAGAGAAAACAAGGGAGAUGGAAGAGCAGCUAAGGGCAGAUCGAGCUGCACUGGAAGCUAUGGAAAAUGAAUGUUUGAUGCUUAUGAGUGAGAGGGAUGACAAGAUCACAGAGAAAAAAACUGUGGACAAAUUGGUCGCUGAUUUUCUUCAAGCAGAUGCUAACGGCGAUUUUGAAGCGCAGAAAGCUAUGGAGAACCAGAUUGUAGCUUUGAUCAGCCGUAACGCCGGCAACACGGGACCAUCUGGAGGCGGCAGUUAGGAUGAGUGAGGCGGGUGAGGGCGAGUGAUAGCUACCAGAAUCGGCGGUGACUACGGCAGGGGUUACGUUAAAUAAGGGUGAUGCGGGCUUUUACCAUUAACAUGAAAAAUAAAAGACCGAGCUGGUGGUGAAAGCAAAAUGGGAUUUUAGAGUAACAAUUACAGUAUAUGUGUACUUUGUAAAAAAGAGAUUGGUUGUAGCUAAAGUGGACUAAUGUUGGAUUGGUUGUAAGUGAUUAAUGGGUUUUGAAUUUUGAUGCGGGAUGUUUAAAACAUGGGUUUAGUAUUAAAUACAGGAAUUAUAUUCAAAAUUAGAAUAUAUAUAGCUAAUUGAUCCCAUAAUUGCUUUAA